rnacentral:lncRNA from 1 species
GACACAUCAGAUGUUUGCCUUCGCAUACCAUACAUUCUCAAAGCAUGCAGGACAUGGAGACUCACCCCAGGCGCAGCUGUCGCAAAGCUUCAUCCGGCUACAGCUUCUUUGACCCUUCUCUAUUACACAGGCUCAUCAUGGUCAAAGACUUCUCUCCCGCAUCACGGAACUUAGAACUUGAUUCUGAAUUCCCACUCUUUGUUUGCCAUUGUGGCACAAGCCUUCUCUCCACUAGCCCGAUGGUCUUCAAUGUGCUCUGACCCCCACAGUCCCCAAGAGUCCUGCUGAAAAUAAAUACAACCUGCCCUGUGUGUCUCCACCACAAGAGGAGCAGGCGGCAGGGGAUAGAACCUGAUAAACGACAAGCAUUCUGCAAACAUCCCAUAGAAAUCACCUCCUAGAUUCUGAGCCAGUGACAUUUGCUGAGUUCUGCACUAUCAACCGGAUCUCUUUGUUUUCUUCUUCUGUUUUGAAUCCACACCUAAAAUGGGACAAAAUCUACCAGCCAGAAUAACCUGAUUGAGAAAUCAGCCAUAACUGGUUUUCUUGGCUGUAGACUCUUCAGGAAAGAAUGUGAAGUAUUUUUCCCACAUCCUCCCAGGAGGGCCACCAGGGGCUCCAGUCCUGGAGGUCGAGGAGCAUUGGAGCUGGUUCUGCAGUUGGGGAGUGGGAGUAGCCUUACCUGUCGGACAGUGACUUCCAGUAUCUGAGAAGAGGGUGGGAGAUCAUGAGCGUCCACAAGUGGCAGAAGUUGAGAUCCAAAUGGAACACACACACCCUCCCACCUCCCAGGAUGGCAAAACCUGGUACAGAGAUGGCUGUAAGGAGGAGGCUGGAAGAAAGACCACUAAGUGGCCAGUUAUUGGGCAAAGCCACUGUGAGUGGGCAGCUCACCAGCCUGCCUGGAGAAGCAGUGCCCACAGACAGGAAGCACCAGCAUUCAGCAAGGAGCACAAGGAGCAACUGUAACUGUGGCCAUCUCUACUGAAUAAGGACCAGCUGCCCCAGUUCUACAAGAUCGAGUCCUUUGCUUGUUUGGGAGAUUUUUUGUGCCUUUUGUUUUUGUAAAAUCCAACGUUCCGAGGGAAGAAGCCCUAAUAAUGACAUUAAAUUUCUCACUAACUGUGGAUGGGACUUGGGACCAGAUUUAAAUAAACUUGGACAAAUAAAGAACAUUGGCAUUUUGUUUCCCAUCAAGUGUCUUGGAGCUAUUCAUUCCUCACUUACAUGUGACACCAUGAGGGACAUUCAUGUG